GUAUCAGUAUUCAACAGUGAAUUGUAUGAGGAUGAGUCUUCUGCAGAGCAGUCUGCUACUUUUGUCCCUCCGUGUGCUCUCAUCUUGGUGUGUUUCACCAGGCACAUUUGUUGUGACACACAGUGAUGAUGUUUUUGUCAGGGAAGGAGAGACAGUAAACAUCACCUGCUGCUGGACAGGGACGUUUCAAAGAUUUAGAGUGAACUGGCUUAAAAAUCAAACAGUAAUUAGGAGUGACUACUUUAAUCAUCCUAAUGCGUCUCUGAAAAAGGAAGAGAAGAAAUGUUCAUCUUUGAAUAUCUCAAGUGUUAGAACAGAGGAUUCAGGGACAUACAUCUGCAAGGUGACUGUGGAGAUACCAUCUUUAUGUGAGGCUAAAGGAAAUGGGACAGUUAUCACAGUCAAGAAGAUGGGAAGAAGUGGGACAUUCGUCACGGUUAAAGCCAAAAAAAAGAAAGAUAAAGGAAAUCGAAGAACUUUCACAAUUAUGCCCAAAGUGAAGAAAGGUGACAACACAGAUCAGCAUAUUGCUCGAGAAGCUCCAAAGGAAGAAGUAUUCACUUAUCUCAUGAGGACUCUGCCUGUCCUCGCCUUGAUCACAGCCUUCUUCUGGCUCUACUAUGUAGGGAGCAAAGCUCAGCAGAACUCAAAAGCUUCUUCUGGAAAUAAACCAACUUCAAGUCAAAAACAAGAGCAAGACGAGGAGGAGGAAGAAAGAGAUGGAAGAGCAGUAGAAGCAGCUAAUGAAUGUUAGAUAAAAGUGUCUGAU